CGGCAACAGCUCAAAUUUGAAAUCUGGCCCCUCGGGCCCGAGUUGUAAUUUGUAGAGGAUGCUUUUGGUGCGGUGCCGCCCGAGUUCCCUGGAACGGGACGCCAUAGAGGGUGAGAGCCCCGUCUGGCUGGCCACCAAGCCUCUGUAAAGCUCCUUCGACGAGUCGAGUAGUUUGGGAAUGCUGCUCUAAAUGGGAGGUAUAUGUCUUCUAAAGCUAAAUAUUGGCCAGAGACCGAUAGCGCACAAGUAGAGUGAUCGAAAGAUGAAAAGCACUUUGAAAAGAGGGUUAAAUAGUACGUGAAAUUGUUGAAAGGGAAGCGCUCAUGACCAGACUUGGGCUUGGCGAAUCAUCCAGCGUUCUCGCUGGUGCACUUUGCCUCGUCCAGGCCAGCAUCAGUUCGUCGCGGGGGAAAAAGGCUUCGGGAACGUGGCUCCUCCGGGAGUGUUAUAGCCCGUUGCAUAAUACCCUGCGGUGGACUGAGGUUCGCGCAUCUGCAAGGAUGCUGGCGUAAUGGUCAUCAGCGACCCGUCUUGAAACACGGACCAAGGAGUCGUCUUCGUAUGCGAGUGUUCGGGUGUCAAACCCCUACGCGUAAUGAAAGUGAACGCAGGUGAGAGCUUCGGCGCAUCAUCGACCGAUCCUGAUGUUCUCGGAUGGAUUUGAGUAAGAGCAUACGGGGCCGGACCCGAAAGAAGGUGAACUAUGCCUGUAUAGGGUGAAGCCAGAGGAAACUCUGGGUGGAGGCUCGCAGCGGUUCUGACGUGCAAAUCGAUCGUCAAAUAUGGGCAUGGGGGCGAA
rnacentral:rRNA from 1 species